rnacentral:rRNA from 4 species
GGUUGACCUCGGAUUAGGCUAGGAAU